rnacentral:rRNA from 1 species
GAUGAACGCUGGCGGCGUGCCUAAUACAUGCAAGUCGAGCGAACGGACGAGAAGCUUGCUUCUCUGAUGUUAGCGGCGGACGGGUGAGUAACACGUGGAUAACCUACCUAUAAGACUGGGAUAACUUCGGGAAACCGGAGCUAAUACCGGAUAAUAUUUUGAACCGCAUGGUUCAAAAGUGAAAGACGGUCUUGCUGUCACUUAUAGAUGGAUCCGCGCUGCAUUAGCUAGUUGGUAAGGUAACGGCUUACCAAGGCAACGAUGCAUAGCCGACCUGAGAGGGGGACCGGCCACCCUGAAAUUGAGAACCGGUCCAACUCCCAACGGAGGGAAGAGGUGGGAAAUUUGCCGAAAGGGGCGAAAGCCUAAGGAGGCAACGCGGGGGGAGUGAUGAAGGUUUUGGGUUGGUAAAACGCUUUUAUUAGGAAAAAACAAAUGUAUAAAUAACUGUGCCACUUUGAACGGUACCUAAGAAGAAAGCCCCGGCAAACUACGG